GACGAACGCUGGCGGCGUGCCUAAUACAUGCAAGUAGAACGCACAGUUUAUACCGUAGCUUGCUACACCAUAGACUGUGAGUUGCGAACGGGUGAGUAACGCGUAGGUAACCUGCCUGGUAGCGGGGGAUAACUAUUGGAAACGAUAGCUAAUACUGCAUAAUAUUGAUUAUUGCAUGAUAAUUGAUUGAAAGAUGCUAUUGCAUCACUACCAGAUGGACCUGCGUUGUAUUAGCUAGUAGGUGAGGUAACGGCUCACCUAGGCGACGAUACAUAGCCGACCUGAGAGGGUGAUCGGCCACACUGAGACUGAGAGACGGCCCAGACUCCUACGGGAGGCAGCAGUAGGGAAUCUUCGGCAAUGGACGAAAGUCUGACCGAGCAACGCCGCGUGAGUGAAGAAGGUUUUCGGAUCGUAAAGCUCUGUUGUAAGAGAAGAACGGGUGUGAGGGUGGAAAGUUCACACUGUGACGGUAUCUUACCAGAAAGGGACGGCUAACUACGUG
rnacentral:rRNA from 1 species